UGGGCUGGCUUCGCGAAGCCUUAGAUCUGUGGGGCAUGGAUUCGGUGCUCAGGAUGCGCUUCUCGAUCAUUCUGCGUUGUUGAAUGCUGGAGGAUGUGCCAAAUUCAAUUGGGCUGGGCUGUGUCUCCAGAAUUUCUUACCGCCUACCGGGCUUAUUGUCUCAUUGCGUGGGAGUUGAGACUGUUUGAUCAGCUGUGGGGUUCCAAAGGAGUUCGCCAGAUUUAUUGGAGAUAGGAAUUGAAGCUAUUUUCAUGGUUUUGUUUGCAAGCUCAGGUUUGACGAUCUUUUGGUCGUGGUAGAUUUCAUUGCCCUUGAAAGUCGAGUGUGCAUUUUCUGUGUGGAGAUUAACCCUUGUGCGGAGUUUUUUUUGUUUUAUUUUAUGGAAACAGUAGUAAUGUGCGGUUUUCCUGUGAUGUUUGUGCGGAAGAAGAGAUUGAUGUGUCAUUUGCUUGGAAUCUGGAGUAAUUUUUUUCGCUUAUUUUUCCUAUGGGCGAUGAUGUGUUGGAGAUUAUUGAACUGCAUCCUAUACGUGAAGUUUAACUGGAUAGUAGGCGUGUAUGAGGUCAAAUUUAGAUAAACAAUUGGGUCAUCACAAUGAAUGGGAGCCUUGGGGAAAUGUGUUCCGGUUUAGUCUAGAAUGGACGCUCUAAACCCCGUUUCAUUGUCAUGGAUUUUUCCAAAAUAACAAUUCACGACAUAGUUUUUGACCAGUUAACCUACAGCCCUUCUAUGAACAUGUUGAGGGAGCUCGGCUAUCUCCGAUUUUCUUAGUAGGAUUUUAGCUGAUAAUAAUUUCUUAGACACCAUUCCAUUGUGUGGAUACAGCUAGGAGUUGGGUUUAAGCAAGAUAGACCUUGAUUCCCUAAAGAAGAGCUAUUGCAAGACAGUUAUUCAGAGCACAAUCUAAGGGCAUGGAAUUUGGGUUGGACAGGUAGGAAUGGGGCACGGUAUCGCGGUAAGCCCUGAGAUUGCCAAGAGAGUUCUGUGGGUCUGUCUCUAGAUUCCUACAGCAACUCUUGCUGCGCGUCUAUACACAGAUCCUGUCCACCAAACGAAUACUCGCCGUGCGAUUAAUUUGCCCAUGCCACCUCACGUGCCUCCACCAGUGGCCGAUUUCAGUGAACAGCAAACUGAGGAUUCAAGCUGAGCAAAUUUAAGCUUCAGGUUUAUCUCCGAUGAGAAGGGGUGGGUAUACAUAUUGAUGACAACGGCCCAUAUGGUCUCUUUGUAGACAUUUUGUACAGAGAGUACACAUCAUUACUUCAACGAUCUGUUAAUCAGAGCUCAGGGUUGCUAAUUAUUUAACUUUAAUCAAUUUUGCAGCUGAGAGAACUAUUUUCCCUUCAUUUUGUACUAUCCGGAAACGGGUUUCACUACCAAAUUACAGUCAAUCAUUGUCCCUU